UACGUAGGGGGGCAAGCGUUUGUCCGGAUUCAUUGGGCGUAAAGAGCGUGUAGGCGGCCAGGUAGGUCGGUUGUGAAAACUGGAGGCUCAACCUUCAGAGGUCGACCGAAACCAUCUGGCUAGAGUCCGGGAGAGGAGAGUGGAAUUCCUGGUGUAGCGGUGAAAUGCGCAGAUAUCAGGAAGAACACCCGUGGCGAAAAGCGGCUCUCUGGGAACGGUACUGACGCUGAGACGCGAAAGCGUGGGGAGCGAACAGG
rnacentral:rRNA from 1 species